rnacentral:tRNA from 1 species
GGUGGCUCAGUGGUAGAGCGCUAGCCUUCCAUGCAUGAGACCCUGGGUUCAAUUCCUCAGCACCA